UACGUAGGGUGCGAGCGUUGUCCGGAAUUAUUGGGCGUAAAGAGCUUGUAGGCGGUUUUGUCGCGUCUGCUGUGAAAAUCCGGGGCUCAACCCCGGACUUGCAGUGGGUACGGGCAGACUAGAGUGUGGUAGGGGAGACUGGAAUUCCUGGUGUAGCGGUGAAAUGCGCAGAUAUCAGGAGGAACACCGAUGGCGAAGGCAGGUCUCUGGGCCACUACUGACGCUGGAGAAAGCGAAAAGC
rnacentral:rRNA from 1 species